GGUGAGUUAGUCAAGUGGCCAACGACGGCAGACUGUAAAUCUGCUCCCUAUGGGUUCGGUGGUUCGAAUCCACCACUCACCACCA
rnacentral:tRNA from 2 species